GUCUAUGGCCAUGCCACCUUGAACAAGCCUGAUCUCAGAAGCUAAGCAGAGUCAGGCCUGGUUAGUACUUGGAUGGGAGACCACCAAGGAAGAACAGGUGCUGUAGGCG
rfam:Pteropus alecto contig44897, whole genome shotgun sequence.